CAGAGGGGGCAAGCGUUGUUCGGAAUUACUGGGCGUAAAGGGCGCGUAGGCGGCCACCUAAGUCAGACGUGAAAUCCCUCGGCUCAACCGGGGAACUGCGUCUGAUACUGGGUGGCUUGAAUUCGGGAGAGGAAUGCGGAAUUCCAGGUGUAGCGGUGAAAUGCGUAGAUAUCUGGAGGAACACCGGUGGCGAAGGCGGCAUUCUGGACCGACAUUGACGCUGAGGCGCGAAAGCCAGGGGAGCAAACGGGAUUAGAUACCCCGGUAGUCCUGGCCCUAAACGAUGAAUGCUUGGUGUGGCGGGUAUCGAGUCCCUGCCGUGCCGAAGCUAACGCAUUAAGCAUUCCGCCUGGGGAGUACGGUCGCAAGGCUG
rnacentral:rRNA from 1 species